CAUCCUGGCCCUUUUUGUUUUUUUGAGGUGGGGCCUCACUCCGUUGCUAAGAUCGGCCUCAAACUUGCAGCCCUCCUGCAUCAGCCUCCCAAGUCACGAGUGACAGGCGAGCGCCACGUGCCCGGCUGGUCUGGGGUCCUUGAUGGCUGCACCUCAAGGCUGGUGUCAGCAAUAGUGACUGCAUGUGUUCUGGUCACCCUGGUACAGUCCUUGUCCCCUGCCAGCCAUGUGUCCAGGAGGGCAGCCACUGCGGGCUCCUGAUCCCCAUGGGGCUGGUCUCGUCCCCCCUACCCGCCUCUCCAGGGUGGCUCUUGGUCCUGCCUCCCCUGCGUGUCACCCCCAGGCCGCCCCAGCCCUACACUCGGAGUCCAGCUGCCCCUGGACACGGGGCCCUGGGGGUCACAUUCCAGCCUGACCGAGCCCUGGUCUUGCCCCAGAAGGCCUCCCUCUGAGCCCUGGGCCUACGGUGCCCGCCCCAGGCACCACCUGGCCGGCCGGCCUCCUCCUCUGGGCCCCUCUGUUCCUCCCCGGGGGUAACCCCCGCGCCCCUCAGCCCUGCUCUCGGGGUUCUAGCGCCCUCCACAGCCGAGGUGGGGGCUGGGAACCGAUGGAGGAUGGUCCCCACGGGGCGAGGGCCACUGCUGCAAUCAGGUCUGCCGUCUCCUGUGCUGCGUCCCCGGCCUAGAACUGCACCUGGCAUACAGUAGGUGCUCAGUAAAUGUGCCAUCCAAGAAGGACCCCAGCCACCAAGACAGCCCCCGGGCCCUGUUCCCCGGCGCUCAGGGCCCCGCGUGAGUGGACCUGGGAGUGACCAGCCUCCCACACGGGCCCAGCAGGGAGGGUGGGCGUCACUUCAGAGGUGACGACGGAAGGUCGCCCAGGCUCCCAUCAGGGCUCCCCCCCCCCUGCUCCAGGGGCCCAGCGUCCGCGACCUGAGGAGACCAGCCAUGCUGCUGGGGGGCCCUGGGACAGCCCAGGCCUCUCGCUGGGCGGCCUUGGCCAUGCUCCCCAGCCCCGUCCACCCUGCUGAAGCCCUGAGUACAUUCAGGAAACCCCCGGCCCGAGCCACCAUCGGCACUCACACUCGUGACCCCGAGGUGUGACCCAGACACUCGGGGUGACAGAGCAAGAGCCCAUCUUGAAAACAGGAAGGAAGGGUCAAGCUGAGGCCGGGCCGGCCACCUGAGCGACUUGGGAGGCUGAGGCAGGAGGAGGGCAGAUUUGAGGCCAGCCUCGACCACUUAGCAAAACCUGUCUCAGAAAAAACCUACCAACCCAGGGCGGGGGCUCGGUCCUCAGCACCACAUAAAAAC
rnacentral:lncRNA from 1 species